GCACUUUGGUGUGUGGCCAGGAAUUUUUAAAACAUGCUAUACCUGACUACUCUUAGCCAGGGGCACUGAGGUCUUUUCCUUUAGAUUGUCAAA